rnacentral:rRNA from 1 species
AGCUCCAAUAGCGUAUAUUAAAGUUGCUGCAGUUAAAAAGCUCGUAGUUGGAUCUCGGGUUCGGGUCGGCGGUCCGCCCCUCAGGGGUUUCGCGACUGCUCGGUUUUUCUCCCGAUCCUACAUGCCGGUUCAUUCAUCUCCCCGUCGGUGCUCUUGGUUGAGUGCCCGGGGCGGCCGGGACGUUUACUUUGAAAAAAUUAGAGUGUUCAAAGCAGGCCCUUUGCGAGCCUGAAUAAUGGUGCAUGGAAUAAUGGAAGAGGACCUCGGUUCUAUUUUGUUGGUUUUCGAGAGAUCGAGGUAAUGAUUAAGAGGGACGGCCGGGGGCAUUUGUAUUGCGGCGUUAGAGGUGAAAUUCUUGGAUCGUCGCAAGACAAACAGCAGCGAAAGCAUUUGCCAAGAAUGUUUUCAUUA